CACAGAGGUGGCGAGCGUUGUCCGGAUUUAUUGGGCGUAAAGAGCUCGUAGGCGGUUUGUCGCGUCGUUCGUGAAAACUCACAGCUUAACUGUGAGCUUGCGGUCGAUACGGGCAGGCUAGAGUUCGGUAGGGGAGACUGGAAUUCCUGGUGUAGCGUUGAAAUGCGCAGAUAUCAGGAGGAACACCGGUGGCGAAGGCGGCAUCCUGGACCGACACUGACGCUGAGGAGCGAAAGCCAGGGGAGCAAACGGG
rnacentral:rRNA from 1 species